GAUGAACGCUAGCUACAGGCUUAACACAUGCAAGUCGAGGGGCAGCAUUUCAGUUUGCUUGCAAACUGGAGAUGGCGACCGGCGCACGGGUGAGUAACACGUAUCCAACCUGCCGAUAACUCGGGGAUAGCCUUUCGAAAGAAAGAUUAAUACCCGAUGGUAUAAUUAGACCGCAUGGUCUUGUUAUUAAAGAAUUUCGGUUAUCGAUGGGGAUGCGUUCCAUUAGGCAGUUGGUGAGGUAACGGCUCACCAAACCUUCGAUGGAUAGGGGUUCUGAGAGGAAGGUCCCCCACAUUGGAACUGAGACACGGUCCAAACUCCUACGGGAGGCAGCAGUGAGGAAUAUUGGUCAAUGGGCGCAGGCCUGAACCAGCCAAGUAGCGGUGAAGGAUGACUGCCCUAUGGGUUGUAAACUUCUUUAUAUGGGAAUAAAGUUUUCCACGUGUGGAAUUUUGUAUGUACCAUAUGAAUAAGGAUCGGCUAACUCCGUGCCUAGCAGCCGCGGUAA
rnacentral:rRNA from 1 species